CACGUAGGCACCAAGCGUUAUCCGGAUUUAUUGGGCGUAAAGAGCUCGUAGGCGGUUCGAUAAGUCGGACGUGAAAUCUCCACGCUCAACGUGGAGGGGCCGUUCGAUACUGUCGUGACUCGAGUCCGGUAGGGGAGUGUGGAAUUCCCGGUGUAGCGGUGAAAUGCGCAGAGAUCGGGAGGAACACCCGUAGCGAAGGCGGCACUCUGGGCCGGUACUGACGCUGAGGAGCGAAAGCGUGGGGAGCAAACAGG
rnacentral:rRNA from 1 species